ACUGGAGGACUGUCAGACUUGAGUCUGAAGAGUGAGACUUUGGAUGACAGAAGCCUCCUAAAAGAAAAGGGAUGGAGAGGGCAGUCCUACUUAGAGUAAAACCCAAGGGCUGACUGUGCUAUCCAACACUU
rnacentral:snoRNA from 1 species